AACGAACGCUGGCGGCAGGCCUAACACAUGCAAGUCGAACGCUCUAGCAAUAGAGAGUGGCAGACGGGUGAGUAACGCGUGGGAACCUUCCCUAUGGUUCGGAAUAACUCGCCGAAAGGCGUGCUAAUACCGGGUAAGCCCGCAAGGGGAAAGAUUUAUCGCCAUAGGAUGGGCCCGCGUAGGAUUAGCUAGUUGGUGAGGUAAUGGCUCACCAAGGCGACGAUCCUUAGCUGGUUUGAGAGAAUGACCAGCCACACUGGGACUGAGACACGGCCCAGACUCCUACGGGAGGCAGCAGUGGGGAAGUCUUGGACAAUGGGCGCAAGCCUGAUCCAGCCAUGCCGCGUGAGUGACGAAGGCCUUC
rnacentral:rRNA from 1 species